GACGAACGCUGGCGGCGUGCUUAACACAUGCAAGUCGAACGGAAAGGCUCUGCUUUUGUGGGGUGCUCGAGUGGCGAACGGGUGAGUAACACGUGAGUAACCUGCCCUUGACUUUGGGAUAACUUCAGGAAACUGGGGCUAAUACCGGAUAGGAGCUCCUGCUGCAUGGUGGGGGUUGGAAAGUUUCGGCGGUUGGGGAUGGACUCGCGGCGUAUCAGUUUGUUGGUGGGGUAGUGGCUUACCAAGGCUUUGACGGGUAGCCGGCCUGAGAGGGUGACCGGCCACAUUGGGACUGAGAAACGGCCCAGACUCCUACGGGAGGCAGCAGUGGGGAAUAUUGCACAAUGGGCGGAAGCCUGAUGCAGCAACGCCGCGUGCGGGAUGACGGCCUUCGGGUUGUAAACCGCUUUCACCUGUGACGAAGCGUGAGUGACGGUAAUGGGUAAAGAAGCACCGGCUAACUACGUG
rnacentral:rRNA from 1 species